GAUGAACGCUGGCGGCGUGCCUAAUACAUGCGAGUCGAGCGAACGGACGAGAAGCUUGCUUCUCUGAUGUUAGCGGCGGACGGGUGAGUAACACGUGGAUAACCUACCUAUAAGACUGGGAUAACUUCGGGAAACCGGAGCUAAUACCGGAUAAUAUUUUGAACCGCAUGGUUCAAAAGUGAAGGACGGCCUUGCUGUCACUUAUAGAUGGAUCCGCGCUGCAUUAGCUAGUUGGUAAGGUAACGGCUUACCAAGGCAACGAUGCAUAGCCGACCUGAGAGGGUGAUCGGCCACACUGGAACUGAGACACGGUCCAGACUCCUACGGGAGGCAGCAGUAGGGAAUCUUCCGCAAUGGGCGAAAGCCUGACGGAGCAACGCCGCGUGAGUGAUGAAGGUCUUCGGAUCGUAAAACUCUGUUAUUAGGGAAGAACAUAUGUGUAAGUAACUGUGCACAUCUUGACGGUACCUAAUCAGAAAGCCACGGCUAACUACGUG
rnacentral:rRNA from 1 species